rnacentral:rRNA from 1 species
UGCGCAGGCGGUUUUUGUAAGACAGGCGUGAAAUCCCCGGGCUCAACCUGGGAAUGGCGCUUGUGACUGCAAAGCUGGAGUGCGGCAGAGGGGGAUGGAAUUCCGCGUGUAGCAGUGAAAUGCGUAGAUAUGCGGAGGAACACCGAUGGCGAAGGCAGCCUCCUGGGAUAACACUGACGUUCAUGCUCGAAAGCGUGGUAGCAAACA